GGCGCGAUAGCAAAGCGGUUAUGCAGCGGAUUGCAAAUCCGUGAAGGUCAGUUCGACUCUGACUCGCGCCU
rnacentral:tRNA from 1 species